AUUGAACGCUGGCGGCAUGCCUAACACAUGCAAGUCGAACGGAGGUAGGGGCAACUCUACUUCAGUGGCGGACGGGUGAGGAAUGCGUCGGAAUCUACCCUAUGGUGGGGGAUAACACAGGGAAACUUGUGCUAAUACCGCAUAAUGUCGAGAGACCAAAGCAGGGGACCGCAAGGCCUUGCGCGAUAGGAUGAGCCGACGCCCGAUUAGCUAGUUGGUAGGGUAAAGGCCUACCAAGGCGACGAUCGGUAGCUGGUCUGAGAGGAUGAUCAGCCACACUGGGACUGAGACACGGCCCAGACUCCUACGGGAGGCAGCAGUAGGGAAUAUUGGACAAUGGGCGCAAGCCUGAUCCAGCAAUGCCGCGUGUGUGAAGAAGGCCUGGUUGUAAGUCACUUUAUCUAGGAACGAAAGACGUUGGAUUAAUACUACUG
rnacentral:rRNA from 1 species